CGCGAAGAACCUUACCUGGUCUUGACAUCCCUCUGACCGCUCUAGAGAUAGAGCUUUCCUUCGGGACAGAGGUGACAGGUGGUGCAUGGUUGUCGUCAGCUCGUGUCGUGAGAUGUUGGGUUAAGUCCCGCAACGAGCGCAACCCCUAUUGUUAGUUGCCAUCAUUGAGUUGGGCACUCUAGCGAGACUGCCGGUAAUAAACCGGAGGAAGGUGGGGAUGACGUCAAAUCAUCAUGCCCCUUAUGACCUGGGCUACACACGUGCUACAAUGGCUGGUACAACGAGUCGCAAGUCGGUGACGGCGAGCUAAUCUCUUAAAGCCAGUCUCAGUUCGGAUUGUAGGCUGCAACUCGCCUACAUGAAGUCGGAAUCGCUAGUAAUCGCGGAUCAGCACGCCGCGGUGAAUACGUUCCCGGGCCUUGUACACACCGCCCGUC
rnacentral:rRNA from 1 species